CAGCAGCCGCGGGAAUACGAAGGGGGCUAGCGUUGUUCGGAUUACUGGGCGUAAAGCGCACGUAGGCGGAUCGAUCAGUCAGGGGUGAAAUCCCAGAGCUCAACUCUGGAACUGCCUUUGAUACUGUCGAUCUGGAGUAUGGAAGAGGUGAGUGGAAUUCCGAGUGUAGAGGUGAAAUUCGUAGAUAUUCGGAGGAACACCAGUGGCGAAGGCGGCUCACUGGUCCAUUACUGACGCUGAGGUGCGAAAGCGUGGGGAGCAAACAGGAUUAGAUACCCCAGUAGUCCCUGUCUCUUAUACA
rnacentral:rRNA from 1 species